UCUUGAAACUGUAAACACCUUUCAGACGGGCACGAUUAUGACAGUACCUCACCCACAAGUCACCGCUAACUACAUGCCAACACCCCCGGUAAUACGUAGGGGGCAAGCGUUAUCCGGAAUCACUGGGUGUAAAGGGUGUGUAGGCGGUUUUGUAAGUCAGGUGUGAAAUCCCCAGGCUCAACUUGGGGAUCGCAUUUGAAACUGCAUAACUUGAGUGCAGGAGAGGUGAGUGGAAUUCCUGGUGUAGCGGUGAUAUGCGUAGAUAUCAUGAGGAACACCAAUGGCGAAGGCAACUCACUGGGCUGUACCUGACGCUGAGGCACGAAAGCGUGGGGAGCGAACAGGAUUAGAUACCCUGGUAGUCCACGCCGUAAACGAUGCCUACUAGGUGUCGGGUCUUUUAAGCUCCGUGUCGCCAAUAUCACAUCUAACAUUCCCCCCCCGGGGGACACGCGCGCCUAUUAAAAACUCAAA
rnacentral:rRNA from 1 species